GUGAGGGAUAUUUUUCUUUAGUCUUACAAAAAUUUUAGAAAAGAGAGGUGAUCAGAUUUUUGAGUUGAAUGUCUGAUUGUGAGUCUAUACAGUCCAUUUGAAAACCUGCAGGUAAUGUACUUAUGAUAUGGACAACUGAUAUGGAGUUGCAAUUAUACAAAAUACAUAUAUAUAUAAAAUCUCAGAAAUUUUUUUUCAUAUUUCUUUAUCAGAAAGCAUACUUUUCCCUGUUUACAGGACUGUGUUUAACCAAUGUGUCAAAAUGCAUGCAGUUGUUUGCCAUCACUUUCACGUGCCAUAAUUUAAAUUUCAUUUUGAAUACUUCCAUGGUUUGAGACAUAGCACAGGAUAGAGAAAAAGAGCCUGAACUGGAGAAAAUAUGACAAAUCAGGAGGAACAGAAGGUAAAGAGAGAACUGGCACAUCAUAUCCUGACAGGAAAGCUGGAUAUUGUGGGAGUGAGGAAGAUGAAAAUAAAUGUGUGGAUUCCAAAGGGAGCAAAGCACCUGAAUCAGUUGUUUCAGAUUUGAACAUCAGAUUCCUUUAGGUCCUGUGUACACCGGCAAACUGACUUAUAUAGUUACCAGAGACUAAAGUGCCACAGUGGAUUGUUUACUGGAUGAAAUAAAUUUUAUUCUUACAAAAUG